UACGGAGGGUGCAAGCGUUAUCCGGAUUUACUGGGUUUAAAGGGUGUGUAGGCGGGCUAUUAAGUCAGGGGUGAAAUCCCGGGGCUCAACCUCGGAACUGCCUUUGAUACUAUUAGUCUUGAAUUAUGUUGAGGUUGGCGGAAUAUAACAUGUAGCGGUGAAAUGCAUAGAUAUGUUAUAGAACACCGAUUGCGAAGGCAGCUGGCUAAACAUAUAUUGACGCUGAGGCACGAAAGCGUGGGUAGCGAACAGG
rnacentral:rRNA from 1 species